rnacentral:lncRNA from 1 species
CUAUAAAAAGGUCAGGUCGGUACUCCUUCUUUUGAUGAAGUAAGUGGUGUAUUAUUGACAAAAGCAUCCAGUGGAUGCACGUAUUACAAAAUAAAAGAAGAUAUCAGCUCCUAAGAAGAGAGCAACAAAAAUCUAUCAUAAGACUAAAGAGCUGAUAAAUUCCAUAAUUGGUCAGAGUUAUACAUAGGGGAGAGUUUAACCCAACUACAAAGAGUGACCAAACAUCUAAGCAUCCAGCCAGGUCGGUACUCCUUUUUUUUUAUUUUGCACCGGGUGUCCGAGUCUCUUCGAGCCUCGACUUAUCCCGGGGGUGCACAGGCCCUCGGCAAGGAGUUUCCCGCAAGUGCACCACAGUUAAUUCAGGUUUUACCCAGUCCGAUGGCCCUCAGAAAAGUCAGGUCGGUACUCCUAAGUUAAGUAGAAGUGAAAAAUCAGCAAUUUUCAGUAGGACAAAAUGCAACACGUUUGAAUACAUUAUAUCAGCAAACGAAACUGGUAGCUAAGUGUUAGAGACAGUAAAAUAAAACAGAACCUCGCUGGAAACAAAUAGCAGUAGAAACUAAAUUAGUAAAAGUCAACUCUCAACUGAAGCUUUUCCUUCCGUAAGACCUAGAUGAAUCGCAUAACUGCAUUCAAAAGGAAAAUGAUAUAAGACAUUUUGAAUAGAUACUCAGCGAAAAAUAGUAGGACCACUGAAAAAUUGAAGUUCACAACUACAAAAGUCAUAAUCAGAUUUAAGACAUGGUUCCCAUUUUCAUGUUCGAGAAGCCUACAUAAAUAAAUUAUAUCUGGCAUCGACCAUCUUGGUAAGCUAUGUAGAAUUUAAUGAGAAGGCUAGCAGUAAAGCAACACCUAGACCCCAUUUGUGGGAUUUCACUAGGCUUCUUGUUGUUGCUAGCAAUAAAGCAACAAACAAAGAACUUCUAUAAUCCAUUUUGGGCUUACAUAAGAUACUUAUAUUGCACAUACACAAAUACUGUUACAAUGCAAACAAUAGAUCUCAACAUUUGCCGGUUAUAAAACAAAUCCUGCAGAUUCAAAAUUUCAGAAGAAACGAGAAGGGGGAUUACAAACUUCCAAAUACCUACUCUUCUGACAUUAUAUUCCAUAUAAAUUCAAAUUACUCUUUCCUAAAGAAACAAUCUUGAGCCUUAAAAAGAUAUUAGUAAUAAACUAAAAUCUUAUUGGUCAAACUAAAGUAGUAGUUCUCAAAUGGUAAUCUCUUGGUAACUGUCCACUUGAGGAGUCACUAGUGACAGUAGGUCGUCUCUCUACCCUAAGAAAAGAAGUAUUUCUCUAUCAAAUGUGUUGCCUGAAAGUACAGAGACAAGAGAGAGAACCAUAGUUUCUCAAUCUUUUGCAAACAUAAAUCAUCAUUUUACAUCUUCUCAAGAAUCAUCAUUGAUCAAGGUACUUGAUAACUGAUUCUUUUAUUAUGUUUGUGAAAAUCACCAGGUUCUAUGAUCGUGGAUUAUGCUCACUCCAUAUCGUUCAUUACAAUCUAGUAAACAAAAUUUCUUAUACCAAUACUUAAAAUUAGGACAUUCUUUUCUCUCACCAAUCUAGAGAACAUCCCAUCGCUCGGACAAACAGCGAAAUGUAAAAACACCCUAAGUAUCUUUCAAUUAGAAAAUCUAAAGGCAAUCCACUUCUCAUCCAGAAUCCAGUCACCACAUGGAAGCAGAAUUCCUUCUUUAAUAAAAUGACAAUAACAACAGUUACGCCUCAGUCCCAAACAUAUUGGGUCGGCUACAUGAAUCCUCGCUAUGGCGGAGCUAGAAUUUAGUCUACACCCUGUAUUUGUAUCAAGAAAACCACUAAAUAUGUCCAAAAACUAAAUUCAGAACCACACCUGAUGUCAUUAUCCUAGAAUUUAGAACCUAUAAAUUUCAAGUCCUGGCUCUACCACUAAUCUUCACUGACCAUAUUACUCCAUUUAAACUCAUCUCAUGCCAUUAUAAUAAAAUAUCGGAAUCGAACUACAAUGUUGAUAAUAAUAAUAUA